GAUUUAUUAGUAUUGAAUAGUAUUGAUUAUUGAAUAAAUUGGAGGUGGCUCUUGAAUGUUCACAAUAAGGAGAAGAAACCUGGAAUGUUUCAGACAGUGAUGCUGUAAAUUCUGUAAACUUCUGUACUUUGUGGUUGAUUUGAUCAACCAAUAUAUGCUCUAAAACAAAAUCUAGCUGUGGCUUAUCUCAGCGGUAGGUGUUUUUUCAUAUAGAUUAAUCUUUUAAAUGACGAGGAUUACUUUCCAAAUUCAUUACAUUGAACUAUUCUCUGUUCUUGGUUUUUGUUUCGUCCCUCAGAAGCUGCAGUUGGCGCUCGCUCCCCUGCACAGUUUCACCUCCCUCUCUCUAGAGGAGAGCCUAGUGGAGCAAGGGAGCCUCCUGUCCCACUCCUUCCAGCAGCUGGACCGCAUCGACUCCCUGAGCGAGCAGAUCGGCUUCCUGGAGGAGCGUCUUGAGACAUGUUCCUGUAGAGACAACAGAUAAUCUGAAGCCCUAAAAGCAUGAGAGAGAAUCGCUCUGCUCCUGUUGAUUGCAGCAGAACCAUCACAGGAUCUUUUUAAAGAAAGAAAGGCAUUUAUUUCUGACUUGUGUGAUCCACUUCAAGGAGCUGAAUACAUACCAAAGAGCUUGAGGAACUGGGUGAAGAGAAAGCUUCAUUUAAAGCAUGCAAAACCACAACCACCACAAUAUUUGGCCAGAGUGGGAUCAAUGCAUUGUGUAAAGAAAUCCAUUAGAUACAUGUAAAUACAAAAGGUAUUAAAAGUGAAGUCAUUUUGGCCACAAUUAGAUUUGUUUUUCUGCCCAGACAGCAUUAAAUGCUGCUGUAAAGCAAGCUCUCCUCUUGAGUAACCUCAGCAGUUUAAACAGUUCCUUUGGAGUCUGUGUAUAUAUGUAUUUAAGUUAUAAUUCAUGUAUGUAGUAAAAGUUUGCAAAAUAUAAUUCCAUAAAUGUUUAGUCUUUUUUUAUAAUAAAAGAACUUGGCAAAACUCCUAUGCUCACACUGUUCUUAUUUUACAGCUAUAGCUGAGACAGCUGGGGCCUCUAACGCAGAAAGGGAUUGUUUUAAACUAAGAGCGCGUACAGGGGGAGUUACGGCUGCUUUUGUGAAGGAUCUCAAAUGUGUAAUGCUUAACAAACUGUUAAUAGUGCCACAGGUAAUCAGAACAAUGUGUUUUAAAUAAAAAAAUUCACGGAAACAGGAAUCCAACCUUCCCGCAGGAAAAAUGAAAUUUAUUUUUAAAGGUUCAGCCAGAUUCUGCCAUCAAAUUAAAUACAAACAAUGUUCUGCAAAAUCAUCUUUAACAACCAAACUUGUACUUGUGUAUAACAGAGAAAUCUGACUCCCAGGUAUUUAUUUUUUUUUUUUUUUUUUUUUUUUUCUGAAGUACAGCAAUUGCACUUGAAGAGCUUUGGCGAGUUUCAAUGACAAUUAACAAAUUGCACGGUAUCUUAAUCUGAUAGCCUUUCAAACCAAGAUCAAAUCAUUACUAUAAGUGCACCAGUAAAGCUUCCCAAAGAGGGACCCUCCAGUGCACAUGGUGACGGACAACAAAGAAACCAGAAAGAGUUUUUUCCUUGCAAUAUUACCAGGCCCAAACCCACUCUGCCUCCUGCUGAAUCAUCAUGCUAUUCCUGGACUUCCCAGGAGAGGGUGCUACCACAAUUUGAGGCAUCUUUCUUUUAGUAGAUUUUUGCUAGUGUCUACACUUGGUGCCUAAAAUAUGUUGUCUCUUCCAAAAGGUUUAAAAAUAAGUGCUGUAAACUAAAACCAAUAAAAUGUCUACUUCGUUAUGUUUUCCUAAUGUUUAAUUUAAUGUUUGCUGUUUGCGUUUAAAUCAAGUUUUGCCAUGCUUCCAAACUAUUGCAUUCUUCUGAAAAGACUGAUUGUGUUGAAGGGAUGGGGGAUGGGGGAUGGGGGAUGGGGGCACAAUUUCCUUGAAGUAUUUUCAGAAGCAAUGCCAAACAAUGAUCUGAGCAGAAACAACAAUAAUCAUACACGCCAUGCAAGGUGUUUUCAACUUUAGCAUUCCUGCAGGAAAAAGAAACAUAGAAAAUACAUAGGAAGUGGAACAACAACAUGUAGUUCAAAACUGGUGCCCCCUGACAUUCUUUUUUUUUUGAUACUGAAACAAUUCAAUGAAACAUUAUGGCUGGUUUAAAUGGGUACAGUAUAAUUACAUUA